GGUGAACGCUGGCGGUAGGCCUAACACAUGCAAGUCGAACGGCAGCACAGUAAGAGCUUGCUCUUACGGGUGGCGAGUGGCGGACGGGUGAGGAAUACAUCGGAAUCUACUUUUUCGUGGGGGAUAACGUAGGAAACUUACGCUAAUACCGCAUACGACCUACGGGUGAAAGCAGGGGAUCUUCGGACCUUGCGCGAUUGAAUGAGCCGAUGUCGGAUUAGCUAGUUGGCGGGGUAAAGGCCCACCAAGGCGACGAUCCGUAGCUGGUCUGAGAGGAUGAUCAGCCACACUGGAACUGAGACACGGUCCAGACUCCUACGGGAGGCAGCAGUGGGGAAUAUUGGACAAUGGGCGCAAGCCUGAUCCAGCCAUACCGCGUGGGUGAAGAAGGCCUUCGGGUUGUAAAGCCCUUUUGUUGGGAAAGAAAAGCAGCAGGUUAAUACCCCGCUGUUCUGACGGUACCCAAAGAAUAAGCACCGGCUAACUUCGUG
rnacentral:rRNA from 1 species